CCCCAGCAACAAGCUAACAACCCCGGGCAACAAGCUAACAACCCCAGACAACAAGCUAACUUAGCGGUGGUGGUUUAGAAAGAGGUUGCUAGGUUGCUACACCCCAUUGAUCCAGAUGUUCCCCACCAUAGUACAACAACUCCCCACACCAACUACCAAAACUAUCACCCCACUGGCCGUUAUGACCCCGUGGAAAUUACAACAACGAUGAUGAAGACGAUGAGGAAGAUGAGGAGGAAGAGGACCCAUUCGCUGGGUAUAGAGGCUACCCAUCUCAGUACUACCAGCCCAAUUACCCUCACCCCCUGCACCCCAAUCCCACUCCCAGGACACUGAGCUAAGGUCCCCAGGGAUAAUGAUGAGCCGUUUCUCCAGAGACGUGGUCACACAGAGAAGAGCCACCGCUAAUACAGCCCAGACAGGACAGACAGACCAGACUGGACAGAGGAGCGAAGCUGCAGCAGAUACUGAAGUGGAGGUGAUUGGAGAAGUCCAGACAGGACAGACUGGACAGAGAGACCAGAUUGGACAGAGGAGCAAUGUUGCAGUAGAUACUGAAGGAGAGGUGGAGGUGAUUGGAGAAGUCCAGACAGGACAGACUGGACAGAGAGACCAGAUUGGACAGAGGAGCUAUGUUGCAGUAGAUACUGAAGGAGAGGUGGAGGUGAUUGGAGAAGUCCAGACUGGACAGAGGAGCGAUGUUGCAGUAGAUACUGAAGGAGAGGUGGAGGUGAUUGGAGAAGUCCAGACUGGACAGAGGAGCGAUGUUGCAGUAGAUACUGAAGGAGAGGUGGAGGUGAUUGGAGAAGUCCAGACUGGACAGACAGUCCAACCACCUCUCUAUGUCCCUGUGGGUUGAUGAAGAUGUCAAAAAUAUGUUCGGUAUGCGUCAGUUGCCCCGUGUCGCUAGCCAGGGUCUCCUGUAUGCUAUUCCUGUAUGAGAGCGCUGUCAGAUUAGGAUAUACCCCAAAAGUGCCUGAUUUCUGUAAAUGCUGGUGUGUGGGAUGUAGGGGACUGAGGAAGACAAGCUAUCCCCAGUGAUGUACAUUAAAAUCACUUACCUUUCUAGUGAAGUUGCAUGCAGCCUUUCAGCCAGCGCAUUGAGGAUGACUGGACUGUGUCUUUUGGGUUGAUGUGUCAUAAAGUCAAACGUCUUUUUGUAAUUUGAGAUUAUAAACGGAUGACAUUUGAACAGUCUGUCAGCUCUUUAUAACCAUGUGUCAUUUACAUUAUAGUGCUUCCAUGUUGACUUUACCCUCAGUCUUUAAGUUGUCAAGCCAGUUCUCACAAUGAUUUUUCAGUAUUUGUGUACAGUGUCCUCUCUUCUUGAUUUAAUAUGAUACAUUGUGACCUCUGUUGAAGCAGCCUCCCCCCCCCCAUUGUUAUUGUACGAUGAGGAAUUUGUUUUUUUAAGUAUGCCUAAACAUUAAGGAACCAAACUUUAACCACUGUCCUAUCAAAGAAAACUACAGCUAUUGUAAGACUCUCAAGCGUUCUUGUCCAAUCGUACCGUUAUCACAUUGUUCAUUGACAUGGACUUGUCCGACUGAGUGUUAGUUUCACUUACUCUCGUCACAGGCAACGACAGAGAAGGUGCUGGAAUCACUUGUGAUGAGCUCCACAAAUCUGAAGUUUAAUGUUUUUCUUAUUGCCUUUCCCAAUUUGUUGUUGUUGUUGUUGUUGUUAUUAUGAUGAUUAUGCAACGUGGUGCCCGUCCACUGUGAGGAGAGUGUUGAAUAUAGUUAGGCCUGUGGUCUAAUUUGUGUUUUUGGACAGAAAUGAAAUUACGAAUGUAGAACUAACAGGUACCAGUGAAAUGUCUCAUCAGACCACGCCACCAAACCUUUGAAACUGAUUUAGGAAGUUAUUUAUUUAUACUUUAUUAUUUGUUUUAUAACCAAUAAAACUGUAAUUCAACAGUGUUCUGUAGCUCGGUGUUUGAUUAGUAGGGUCUGUUAGAACUAGGUAUAAGUUCUGUUGUCUGAUUGACAUGUGCCUCCUUGUCCAUUACGGGUAGGGCCUGUGAGAACUAGGUAUAAGUCAGUGGCGGUUGGUGCCGUUGAAGAUGAGGGAGGACCAUUUAUUU
ensembl:lncRNA